rnacentral:rRNA from 1 species
GUGUCAGCAGCCGCGGUAAUACGAGGGGGGCAAAUGUUGUUCGGAAUCACUGGGCGUAAAGGGAGCGUAGGCGGGUUCUUAAGUUAGGUGUUUAAUCCCGGGGCCCAACCCCGGACCGGCACUUAAAACUGGGAAUCUUGAAUAGUGGAGAGGUCGGUGGAAUUGGGGGUGUAGCGGUGGAAUGCGUAGAGAUCCCCAAGAACACCAGUUGCGAAGGCGGCCGACUGGACACAUAUUGACGCUGAGGCUCGAAAGCAUGGGGAGCAAACAGGAUUAGAAACCCCAGUAGUCC